CCUACGGGAGGCAGCAGUGGGGAAUAUUGGACAAUGGGGGGAACCCUGAUCCAGCGACGCCGCGUGAGUGAAGAAGUAUUUCGGUAUGUAAAGCUCUAUCAGCAGGGAAGAAAAUGACGGUACCUGACUAAGAAGCCCCGGCUAACUACGUGCCAGCAGCCGCGGUAAUACGUAGGGGGCAAGCGUUAUCCGGAUAUACUGGGGGUAAAGGGAGCGUAGACGGUGCAGCAAGUCUGAUGUGAAAGGUCGGGGCCCAACCCCGGGACUGCAUUGGAAACUGUUGAACUGGAGUACAGGAGAGGUAAGCGGAAUUCCUAGUGUAGCGGUGGAAUGCGUAGAUAUUAGGAGGAACACCAGUGGCGAAGGCGGCUUACUGGACUGUAACUGACGUUGAGGCUCGAAAGCGUGGGGAGUAAACAGGAUUAGAUACCCCUGUAGUC
rnacentral:rRNA from 1 species